ACACACACACACACACACACACACACACACACACACACUUUUUCAUUGAUUCAUUUACCAUUCUGUUGUAAGACUCAGUAUCAUUUACUUUUGUUCAUAAUAAGUUUAAUUUAAGAUGGAUGAUACGAAAUACAUCAAUGUAUUUUAUGACUGUCAAUUUACCUUUAACCUUCUCAGUAUAAUGUCAAACUGCUAAUUGUAACAACUAAGUGUAAAGCUUCAAGUUGACGGGGAUUGCCAGGAUCUGAAUUUUGUGAUAUUGCGCAACGUGGCUUUUUAUUAGACUUUUACAUAAUAAUUUCCUAUAGAAGUACAGGUUUGAGCACCUAAUAAUAGUUAAUUUCUUUUGUAUCUGCUUGUGAUUAAUGAGACCUAAGGAUAUAGUCAACAGGCUACUUCAAUAUAAAAAAAAAUAAUGUCAUGAGCAAAUUUAUCAAGUUUUAUUGCUUAUCAGGACACGCUUAGAUUAAGUAGAUGCUUCAAGUAUUCAUAUCCACUGACAAGCGAGAUGAUGAUGCGGUGCAGUCACGAUGUAUUAUUGAAAAGAAUACAUCAAGCGAAGCAAGCAAGUGUCCCGCAGCCGGUGGCCAGCAUGGCGUGUGCUGGAGAUCCUGACAGCCUCUGCUAAUUUGGAAGUAGUGGAGUCCAGUUCAUGAUAAGAGAAAUUUCCAUUAUCAAUCCAUAAGUUUUCAGGUAAUAACUAUUUUCUUGAUAUAAGUAAAACAGCUAAAUUUACACUACCAUCACCACCACCACCACCACCACCAAUAUCAACAACAACAACAACAACAACAAAACCAGCACAAUACCAGUAACACCACCACCAACAAAAGCAACACACACAUCACCAAUAACAACACUUACUCAACAAAACAAUCUAUGUAUCUAUAUCUUUUUUUUUUUCUUAUGCGGUAGGGACACCGGCCAAGGUCAACAAAAAUCUAAUUAAGAAAAAAGCCCACUGAGAUGCCGAUCCCGAAUAGGGUCCGAAGUGGUGGUCAAAAACUGAUAAAUAAGUGUCUUGAAACCUCCCUCUUGAAGGAGUUUAAGUCAUAAGAAGUGGAAAUACAGAAGCAGGAAGGGAAUUCCAGAGUUUAUCAGAGAAUGGGAUGAAAGAUUGGGAAUAUUGGUUAACUCUUGCGUUAGAGAGGUGGACAGAAUAGGGGUGAGAGAAAGAAGAAAUUUUUGUGCAACGAGGCCGCGGGAGGAGAGGAGGCAUGCAGUUAGCAAGAUCUGAAGAGCAGUUAGCAUGAAAAUAGCGGUAGAAGAUAGCAAGAGAUGCAACAUUCUGGCGAUGAGAAAGAGGCUGAAGACAGUCAGUUAGGGGAGAGAUAAUGAAACCCUGUCUAAAAGAGCGGUAUGAGUGGAACCCCCCUAGACAUGUGAAGCAUACUGCAUACAUGGACGGAUAAGGCCCUUGUACCGAGUUAGCAGCUUGGGGGGAUGAGAAAAACUGGCGGAGACGUCUCAGAACACCUAACUUCAUAGAAGCUGUUUUAGCUAGAUAUGAGAUGUGAAAUUUCCAGUUUGGUUCAUAAGAAAAGGACAGACCGAGGAUAUUCAGCGUAGAAGGGGCCAGUUGAGUGUCACUGAAGAAGAGGGGAUAGUUGUCUGGAAGGCUGUGUCGAGUUGAGAGAUCAAUACCCAACCGAAUAAUUUCUCUCGCUACUAAAACGUAAAGACAAGCGCCAUAAACUUACAGCGUCGCCGCACCUGCACCACGUCAUCCCCAGUGGUCAUGGCGCCUGUGACCUUGAGUGUUGCAUGGUACGACUUUCUGGCACGAGGGUCCGGGGUGAAGGAGGUGGCGCGCAGCGAGGCACAGGUAGAGGGAGCGGCUGUGGUACCUCAUGACUCAAGCAGCGCACACGAGGAUUGACCCACCGUCCUUCAUCUUCAUCUCUCCUUUCCUUCCUCCCUCACUCACUCAUCUUCCUUCCCCAAUUCCUCUUUUUUUUCACCCUAUUUCUUUAUUUCUCUUCCUUUCUCUCAUCCCUAAUUCCUUUUUUUAUAUCCUUUCUAUUUCUUAAUUUCUUUUUCUUUAGUUUUAUCUUGCGUUCCUAAUUCCUUUCCUAUUGUUUUUUUAUUUAUUUACUUAUUAUCUAUUAUCUCCUCCACUCUCUUCUUUCCCUAAUUCCUUCCUUUUUUUUUGUCCUCUGUUUCUUCACUUCUCUUUGUUUAGUUUAUCCUCCAUUCUUUAUUCCUUCAUUUUUUUUCACCUAUUUACUUAUCAUUCAUUAUCUCCAUCACUCCUCAAUCUUUCACCAAUUCCCCUUUUUUAUCCUCUAUUUCUCUUUACUUCUCUUUCUUUAGUCUAUCUUCCAUUCUUCAUCCAUUUUUCAUUGCUCUUUUUCUUCAUAUAUUUAUUAUCUAUUAUCCCUCCUUCAUCCGUUACUUCUUUCCGCGUAUUUCUUCAGUUUUCUUUUUCUCUAGUUUAUCCAUUAUCCUUCAUCCGCUCCUCAUUAUCUUUUUGUUUUUCAUUACUGAUUUUUUUUUCGUUUAUUCAUCAUCCUUCAUCUCAUUUUCUCCAUUACUUAUCUUCUUCAGUCAUUCCUUUCUUUCGUAUUCAGUCCUCCUCUUCCUUUUCCUCUAGUUUAUCCACUAUCCUUCAUUUAUCCUUCAUUCUUUCCUUAUCUUGUCUACCCAUUCACCUUCUUUUUGUUUUCUCUUACUUUCCUUUAUUAUUUAUCUUCGUGCUUCAUUCCUCUUUCUUCACUUGCUUUCUUCUCAUUACUUCUUUAUUCAUAUUCAUUUUUUGAUCUAUUAUAUUUACUCUAUUAUAUCUCUGUCUCUCAUUCUGUCUUUUCGUAUCCAGUUCUCAUUUUCUCUAGUUUAUCCAUUUUCUUUCAUUUCCAUAUUUUCCUUCCUCCCACUCUCCUCUUCUUCCCUCCCCAUCUUUUUUUUUUCAUUUCUGUUUACUCAAUUCUUUCCUUAAAUUUAAACAUUGUUCCUCAUGCAUCCCCAAUUCUUCUCCUUCCUUUCUAUUUUCUCCCACUUCUUUUGCUUUAGUUUACCCACCGCCGUUCACCUCACUUCUUCUCUUUCUCCAUAAUAUAUCCUCUGCCUCCCUUAUCCCUUCCUUUCUUUUCUGUCCUUUACCUCUUUUUUUUCUUUAAUUUACCAACCACUCUUCAUCCCCCUUCUCACAUUCUGCUUCUCCUUCCCUCUUUCUUUUCUUUCCUUUCUGUUCCAUGACUUACUUUCGUUUCCUUUUCCUCUUUUUUACAGACGUCGUUCUAUCUUCGACUCGUUUCCAUCUUUCCUCUUCAUCUGCCUUCCCCGCUCACUUCUCUCUGUCCCUCAUUUCUUCCUGUCAUUCCGGUUUCUUCCUUUAUUUUCCCUUUCUCCUUUUUAUUAGUUACUUAUUUCCACUUUAAUUAUUCAAGUUCUCUCCUUUCUUCUUCCUUUUCUUUUGCUUAAUUCAAUUUUCCAUUCAUUUUCUUUCUAUAUUUCUUCAUUUUUUUUUCAGCUGCUCCUUCCUUGCUUUCCACUGUUCUCAACCUCCCUUUCCCUCUUUUCUUACAUUUCCUUCUUCGUAUUCUUCCCCUUCCCUUCUUUCUUCGUUAUUCUUGAUAUUUUUUUUCUGUUUUUGUUUUGUUUCUGGCUUCUCUACUCCAACUUUCCAAUCCUCGCAGACUCUCGAUCAAAACACGGUAAGCUGAAUGCACGGCCAGUCUCUCUCUCUCUCUCUCUCUCUCUCUCUCUCUCUCUCUCUCUCUCUCUCUCUCUCUCUCUUAUUUCCAAGUUAAAUAUUCCCUCUUCGUCUGUCUGUCUAUCUGUAUGUCUAUCUCUGCCUGUCUGUCUAUCUGCUGUGUGUGUCUGUCUACUCAUUUCGAAAUUAAAUACUCUCUCUCUCUCUCUCUCUCUCUCUCUCUCUCUCUCUCUCUCUCUCUCUCUCUCUCUCUCUCUCUCUCUCUCUCUCUCUCUCAUUUCAAAGUUAAAUAAAUCCUCGAACUCACGACUUGAUUAUAUUUAUACAGCCCGAAAAAGCGAGCGCUCGUCUGCCUUGUUUCCGCCCAGGCCCCUCAGCCCCACGCCGCCGCCCAUCCUGUCUCCCUCCCCCACCAACACCAUCACCACCAUCACUAGUCACACGUCCACAAAAAGACUAUCAGUGUGCCUCAUCCAAAGUACUACGAUGGCAUGUUUCAUUGUGAUGUCUUCAAAGCCCACGCAUGCUCACAGACUGCAAUGUUACCUGUGUACGUACGUGUGUCUAUUUUACUGUCUGUUUGUGACUGUUCCGUUUUUAUUAUGGUUGUAUGUAUGUAGCGUAGCGAUCGAGUUCGCGUGUUUUUUUUUUCGUACGUGGAAAUGAAACGUUUUUUUAAAAGACUAUGGUUAGGUUAAGGUCGUGAUUUGCGUGUUCAUGAACGUUAGCCGAUAUGUGAGAGAUGUUGCCAAGAAGUAAUGAUGAUGAUGAUGGUAAUAAUAAUAAUAAUAAUAAUAAUAAUAAUAAUAAUAAUAAUAAUAAUAAUAAUAAUAGUGUUAGUAAUUCUGAUAACAAUAAUAAUAAUAACAUUAAUAACAACAACAAUAAUAAUAAUAAUAAUAAUAACAAUAAUAAUAAUAAUAAUAACAAAAACAACAGCAUCAUCUCCAAGUAUCAGCGAGAGCAACAAACAAUCACGUACUAAACACGAAACUGCAACAUCGAUUUCGUCUCGCGGUGUUCCUCGCCCUGAGCGUGAGGCGGCGGUGGCCAGGCAGCUCCGGGCGGUGACGCAACCAAUGAUCGGUGAGGCAUCGGGCGCCGUGACCACACAGUAGAUUGCCUCAGUGAUCCUCGACCCUGCAAGCUGGUGGGUGGCCGCGAGAACACCUGCAUCGAGCGUGCAGACUCAUGGGAGAUUUGUAAUUCACUGUAGAGUCAAAGCUCCGGUCAAGGAGGUGCUGUGUUUGGGGUUCACAGCUUCCAACGUCCCCCUCUUGCGUUACAAACUUCUCCCCUAACCCUGCACUGUCUCGCCACCACUCACUGUAGCAAGAGAGCCGCUUCCACAUGCAGUUACUGCUAUUUCAACCAUAUCUGUGAGUUUAUGGCGCACGACACGCUUGGUACACGGCGGUGUAUUAUCGCGGUGUGUGUUACUGGAUACUCGUAUAUUUCGGGAGUGAACACAUUUCGGAUCAUACGUACUGACUCAAUGGAACAGAACAAGAGAACAAAGCGUCUCAUAAGCACCCACGGAACCACGACUGGCAAUACUGAGCAUGAAGUUAAGCGUUCAUAUUAGCUUGCCAUAAAAAUGCUCCAAGUUAAUUAACACUUAAGUGUAUCGAGGCAUUUACCAGCAUGGCCUGGCAGGCGUGCUGGCGACACGGGACGCAGGGCUUCGGUAGCGAGGUGAUGAAACAUAGCUUUUAUAAUUUUGGAAACGUGAAUAACACAUCUUACGCGAAUUGUUACGCUCGUGUAUUAGUAUGUUUACUUAUUACAGGAGCCUUAAUGACACGCUGGUUUAAUUAAUAUACCGAAGCAUGAAGAUCAGCGUCUUAUUUGUUGUGGGGAGAAAACGCGGUUGUGUAAAAUGAAAAGCAGAAUGGCGAUUAUGAUUAGAUGAGAAUCAGCCUAAUUUACUCUGGAGCGGCGGGAGGAGGAGAGGAGCGCGUCAGGUGACUGUGGCAGCAGAGGCCGUUGUCGGUGCAUGGGCGUGCCAACAAACAUUGGGCUCUCUUGCUCUUUUUUUAAUGAUCGCGAAGAAUCAUCACCCACUGGUGGGUCAAAGGGGCGGAAUUUUUCCGCGUACACAUGAAUCUGAGGCAAAAGGACAAGGCAUGCACACACACACGCAACCUCGCCUGGCUAAUGAAAUCGCCGUCAACACGGCUACUGACCAGCCAAAACAGAAGCACGUUUACUGAAUUUUAGGAAUCACCGCUCACUGCUUCUUCAGCUCACCACCAAGGUUUGCAGACUUCGCAGCAGCAGCAUCAGCAGCAAGCCGCGGGCCUUCCUCGACGGCUAUUUCCGCUACUUUUAUUGCGUCGACCGUUUUCAAUUUUCGGGUUAACUGCGAGCGUUUUGGUCGUCGUACUCCGCCAACUGUAGUAAAACUACGGACAUUACGUAUUUUGGAGCUUUCGUAACCUACGCGAAACGUGCGGCUGAGUGAUGACGAAAGAGCAAUAAAACUCUUAAGUGUGAAGAGGAGCAAAGGAUACACCAAACGGUAAGUCAUGUACACAGUAGUGGUGUAGUGAAUGCACGAAUACAUUAUGAGGUCGUUUGUUUAUCUUGAUCUCUGGGAAAACAAAUACAUAUAGAGUAAAAAAAAAGACGAUUCUUUCACACAUCGAUAGUGUUUGGUACAAACUACUCGGGAUUAAGGCAACGGGAAGUAACGGGGAUGGUACUGAAAAAAAAAAAAAAAACUUGGACAACCCGAAAUAGAAUGGAAAAGAAUAUCUAUGGUUUUAUUGUUUUAUCCUCCUCGAAUGUCAAGCAUGAUCACUGUUUAUUUCUUUUUCCUGUGGAGUAAAUUUCAUUUCAGGCAACCCAGCCUCACCCAGCACAUCCCCCGCACAGGCACGCCCCGCACUGCCGCACAGGACCCGCCGCUGCGAGGUGCUGGAGGCAAAACUAUAAAGCUCUCGUUAGGUUUCGUGCCUUCAAAAAAUUUCUUAUAAGCGUUGCAGAGUGUGACAGUCGAUCAGGGAAGGUUGUGUCCACCACGUGGCGGCAACAGGUGGAGCGCCACUGUCAUUGCUCUUACAUUCUGGUAAUGAUGCCCCCGUGGCCUCUACACGUGCCGGGAGAACAACAAAGAUGGUAAAUAUGUAUUGCAGGUGUGGAGGAUGCUCUUCCUUACUACAGAAUCACCCGAAAUUAAUCUAAUCGCUUGCAGUGAUUGUAUCAUUAUACAUUUAUUAUGUUUUAUCAUGUUUGUCUCGAACUUUGAAUUUGGCUUUUUAGGUUUAUCUGUUAUGUAAGUGUCCUCAUCAUUACGGGCACUUGGUGUUUAUUUUACGAAUCUUGAUGUUUGCAAUUUUCCUCCUAUUUUUCCACUUUCAGUACUGCAAUUCGUAAUAUAAAACUGAUUUUCUUUCCAUCUUUUAAAAUUAUUAUUGAAGGUCUUGCAGCCCGCCACUCCAGUGUCCAUCACGGGUGCUGUGGGCCAUUUCUUCACAGGGGCUGCUCAAACUCAACACAGAAUUUUAUAUUUCUCCUUUUACUUCUCAUUCGUUGCCUUCUCGCCUUUCCUACCCUGGCGUGCUCCGCGGCUGUCCUGCCGCCCUUUCUCGACUAUUCCAUUGUUUAUAAAAAGUUAUAUUGCACAACUUUUACAAUCAAGCCAAAUUAAGCGGUUUACUUUUCCCAGUCAUGAAAGGUGUUCCAAAAACUAAUCUGGCGUGUAUGUGUGUGUGUGUGUGUGUGUGUGUGUGUGUGUGUGUGUGUGUGUGUGUUUUCAUCUCUUUCAGCACAACUUCUGCACAUCGUCCUCACAAAAAAGGGAAGAUCGAUGCAGCCCUUUUGCCAACCCUGACACAACGCUGGGGAUCUUCUGGGACUGACACUUGCAAAGGGUCCACCGUCAGAGUCAACCGCGGGAGAGGAAACACUACAGUCACGAUGCAGCGACGAGGGAACAGAGAGGGCAGCGCCUCGGGCAGUGACCACGCGUAUAGGGAUUGAUUCUCUCUCUCCGCUACUGGACAGGCAGCGUUUGAUGUCAGUUCGUCAGCCAGACUCGCCCGUAUCUGUUGGUGUCUUACAAAGGCCAAUGGCAGCACUUCCUGCAACAGCAGCAGGAACACGACCGAGGAACAUAAGUAUUGACAGACUGGCCGAGCUGGGUGCUGCCACUACAGAUGGGAUGCGAGUCUGGGAACGCCACUAAAGAGCCAGGGAGAGUGCCACGUGUCCAAGCUGGGUCUGCAAAGUGAGCACCUUCCACUACCUCCAUCACCAUCCAUCCUGCACUACUACCUUCAUCCCGAGUCUGCUGUACGCCAACACCGUCCUGGUAACCUGUCUGGCGCCUCUCCAGGCUUCCACACGCUCCCCCAUCUCAGCCGUGUUCCUCCCAUGAUCUCCGCUGCGUUUACAUGAUGGACGAGGGUCAGGGUGUUGCCGAAGCGGAGCAGACCUACACGCGAUUCCCGAGGGACCAUAACAACGUUUGAAGCGAAGCCGCUGCUCGCACACGCGUACCUGACAACGAAGGACGACUACCUGUACGAGGAGAUGAAGAACGGCUCCUACAAAACUGCGUAGUGUGUGGCGGAAUAACGCUGUGAGUUCCGAGGCGCGUGGGAACAAGGGAGGAAUGUUUUUUCCUGUGCCCCUUCCAGCUGUGCACACUAAGCCGCGCUGAGUGCCUUGUUUUCUCCAGACUGCUAAUACAUGAGCACGCAACACGCACUGCACCCGACCUCAUUACUCAAACGGAUACUGUCUGUGUGAUUAUCAAAACAAAUUAACCGAGUUAGGAAAAACAAGAAAUAUUGAUGGUGCUAGAUGGGAAAAAAAUAUAUAAUUAUAUAAUGCGUAAACACAUUAACUAGUAAAAUACAGACAUACAUUAUCCAAUAAAGGUGUGCAUCUAGUCAUGCAACGCAGUGUUAUGGAAAGGUUAGUGAGAUUUACACCAUAAAACACAAAAACAUCAUCUAAAUAAAAGUUUUCGUGAUCAACAAAAUAUUUGAAUGCAGUAUCCAUGUACGAGGUACAGGACAGUAUGUAUAGCUAAUAAAUAUGACAUUUACAAUA